rnacentral:rRNA from 1 species
GAUGAACGCUGGCGGCGUGCCUAAUACAUGCAAGUCGAGCGAACGGACGAGAAGCUUGCUUCACUGAUGUUAGCGGCGGACGGGUGAGUAACACGUGGAUAACCUACCUAUAAGACUGGGAUAACUUCGGGAAACCGGAGCUAAUACCGGAUAAUAUUUUUAACCGCAUGGUUCAAAAGUGAAAGACGGUCUUGCUGUCACUUAUAGAUGGAUCCGCGCUGCAUUAGCUAGUUGGUAAGGUAACGGCUUACCAAGGCAACGAUGCAUAGCCGACCUGAGAGGGUGAUCGGCCACACUGGAACUGAGACACGGUCCAGACUCCUACGGGAGGCAGCAGUAGGGAAUCUUCCGCAAUGGGGGAAAGCCUGGCGGAGCAACGCCGCGUGAGUGAUGAAGGUCUUCGGAUCGUAAAACUCUGUUAUUAGGGAAGAACAUAUGUGUAAGUAACUGUGCACAUCUUGACGGUACCUAAUCAGAAAGCCACGGCUAACUACGUG